CUCCCACAUGGGCAUGGGGUUUUUGGGUUUCAAGACACAAAUCACAGAACUGGAUGGGCAUAUAGAAGGUACACUAUGAAUCUACGGCGUCAACCUGCUGGAGUUACUUGUCCUCAGUGAUGAGCAGCUGCUUCCUCCUUGGGCUUGGUCAUCUGGACAGCUAAAAAAACAUGCAACUGUAAGAAGAUGGAUUGAUGGUAAAGAGUGAAGAAUUGUGAUUCAGUGAACAGAAAAGCAUAUGUACAUUACAAUAUUGCAGACAAGAAAAUAAUAAUCCUAAUAUGAAGAUAAGUGUUUUUCUUAUUGAUGGUUGUAAGAUGGACUGAUCGUAAAAAGAGAGAAGAAUUUUGAUUCAGUGAACAGAAAACAAGACGUUAUUAUUCAGCUGUGAUACUUGAUAUUUGACAAGUAUCGAUAUUUGACAAGUAUGGUUUCAUGUAUACUCCUACAAGUUAGGCAGAGCAAUGUACAAGAUAAAUCGUUUUAUAUAAAGCGUGUCCAAUCAAUAUUCAAAAUGCUAUUGAGCAGAGCAUAGAAACAGAGUCCCAAAAAUCUAAUUAUCUGCUGCGGCGACAGCCACGCAGCAAGCCAGCAGCGGCAGGCUGGGGCGAGGGUUGGGGAGGAGGCAAGUGUUCUCAGGUUAUUAACAGGGAAACUGGGUGAUUAACAUCUCUCCAAAAAGAAAAGUAAAACAAAUUAAAAUAUUGAGUGUGGCAGCAACAUCUACUUGUUACUGGAGUCCCAGUUCAAGAUGGCCAAAGGCCACUUGGCACCAUGGAACCUGCACAAUUUCCAUCAUAUAUAUGAAUGAGUUAGGAAGUAAAGUAGAUUUGAACUACCCAGCCUCAUACAUAUAUAUAAAGUGUGCUGCACUGCUGCUACAGAAAGUUUCAUAGGCUUCCAAGUGAAGGGAUACUAGUUGUUCAACUGCCGUGUUUAUUUUUUGUUGUUGGGGAAAACAAUAGCUUAAUCAGUUCACUUCUCUAAUAGUAUGAACAACCUAUCACUCAAACAGUCCUUGAGUGCUAAUAUAUUAUUGUAUUGGUAAAAGAAACAUGUCACCACGAAGAGCUUUAACAGUUAGCACCAUUUUUUAUUAGAGAAGUUCAGAGAGAGAUUUGAGAAAUCUAUAUUAGAGAAAACUUGAAGACAACAUACAGAAUUACGAGCUUAACAGUUACUGCUAUGACCAUAUCGCGCAAGCUACAACAUAUAAAUUAAUUAGCAUUAGUAUGAUGUAUAUGGACAGAAUGUCUACCUUGCCGUCCGCAAGAAACAUGACGGGAGGUCGAGGAGAUUUCGAGCGGCUCCGUGUCAGCUGCCAUCACCACGACGAACUCAGAUGUCCCGCUGUUAAGAGAACUUGGUCGCUGUGGAAAGCAAGAAACAAAGAUUAAAAUCACAGGAGGUGAAAUUAACAGGAAGGACCAAUGGGCACUGCUAGGGAUUGGUCACCUUCAUGGGGAACUGAACAUCCAACUAGUUUUAGUCAAAGUCUUAAGCAUAUACAUACAUACAAAUUGAACCAAAAAUCAUAUGCAUGUCUGUACAAUUAAUUGCAAGGCUAUCCAACUUGCAGUUGGAGAGAGUACAAACUAGUUUACUGGUAGUAAAGCACAGCAGCCUACACAACAUUCAGGUUCUCGCACAAAUGCUAGUAGACAGACAAGAGUUGACCACAAACAAAGAAUGAAUCCAUCAUAUUAUGCCAGUAGUAGGUACAGCUUGGCUUCAGUCAUAGAAAGGGAACAUGAGUUUGCUUGCUUGAACCAAAAGGUUCACCAUAGGAAUUGGGCAUCCAACGUGUUUUAGCCAAAGUCGUAAGCAUGAACAAACAAACAUACGUACAAAAUGAACCAAAAUCCAUAUGUCCGUGUAAUUAACUGCAGGUGCCAUCCAACAUGCUAUUGGACAGAGUAGAGCCUGAUUUACUAGCAGCCUGACACAAAAUUCUAACUCUGGGCUUGGUGCAUGAAUCCUAGUAGAGAGACAAGAAAGAGUUGACCACAACAAAGAAUUCAUUCAUGGGAUUAUUCCAGUAGCAAGUACUGCUUGGCUGCAGUUUUAGAAAGGAGACUUGAGUUUGGUCAAACAAAAAGAAAAAGUGACGCAUACUUGUUCAUAGAUAGAAACUGAACAUCCAACGGCAACGGCGGCGCCGAGGCGGGUGGACGGGCGGCAGCUUGGGUGAUCUCAUCUGCUAGACCAUGUCGCUGAUGAGCUGCACGUGGCUGCUCCGGUGCAUCUCCA
rnacentral:lncRNA from 1 species